rnacentral:rRNA from 1 species
ACGUACACUCCUGCGGGAGGCAGCAGUGGGGAAUUUUGGACAAUGGGCGAAAGCCUGAUCCAGCCAUGCCGCGUGCAGGAUGAAGGCCUUCGGGUUGUAAACUGCUUUUGUACGGAACGAAACGGCCUUUUCUAAUAAAGAGGGCUAAUGACGGUACCGUAAGAAUAAGCACCGGCUAACUACGUGCCAGCAGCCGCGGUAAUACGUAGGGUGCAAGCGUUAAUCGGAAUUACUGGGCGUAAAGCGUGCGCAGGCGGUUAUGUAAGACAGUUGUGAAAUCCCCGGGCUCAACCUGGGAACUGCAUCUGUGACUGCAUAGCUAGAGUACGGUAGAGGUGGAUGGAAUUCCGCGUGUAGCAGUGAAAUGCGUAGAUAUGCGGAGGAACACCGAUGGCGAAGGCAAUCCCCUGGACCUGUACUGACGCUCAUGCACGAAAGCGUGGGGAGCAAACAGGAUUAGAAACCCUAGUAGUCCCAUGAU